UUUAAUUUUCUAUAUUUCGUUUCUCCUCUCCUUCUCCUCUCGAGAGCUAGAAACCCCAGCUGUUGUUAGAGAUCGGUCAUUGAUUUAACUAUGGGAUUGGGGUUUUUCUUUAUUCAAUAGAUUUUUCUCCUCCUAUUCAAAGAAUUUGGGGUUUUCUUGAUUCCCUUUUCUGAGAUUGAAGGUACUUCUUGCAUUAGGGGUUGCUUCAUGACAGAGCUGGAGAAGUUAGGUCAGAAGUAACGAGUAGCUUUGAGGAUUGCAAAGGAUCCCCGUUUUGAGAGACUCCCAUGUUCCCACGAAGGAACUUAUGUUGGUGAUUGUAUAGUUGAUAGAGUUACGUAGCCAGCUCUCAUAUGCAACACAGUCACACCAAUAUGUAGGUUUGAAAAUUAAUCCCUUGUUGUGGUCCACCGAAGGAAAUCUUUCGCAGCAUAGUGCUAGCAAGUAGCAAAUUUAGUUUACAUCUCUACUUCUGGCACAAGUGCUAUAUCGUUGCAACAUGUGACUGAGAUUUGAAGCGGAGAAUACGCAAGGUUCCUGGUGUUCCAAUUAUGUACAGCACUAUCCAUGACCAUAAGUUCUAAGUACUCGGUUGAGGGACUACCUGAAGCAACCCUUGGUGGAGCUCCACGAUAUUGAUGACUUGGGAUGAUUUCUCAUUAGCAAAGAAAGUGUUCAAAAAUUCACGUACAAGAUAGAAUAUCUUCUGCCGGGGUUUCUAAAACUCAAUUUCUUGCUACUGCAUAUGUUGAUAGCGCAAAGCCACCAAAUGAUGAGAAUUAUAACUGCAAUUGAAGAAAUUAGUGGGGUAAGUGAUAUGUUAUGCGAUAGAGAUGGAGCACUUGGAAGAGCUUAUGUUUCAAGAGGUGAGAUGAUUAAGUGGCCAAAAGAUCACGCAACUCCUGUAGGAGAGCGAGCAAUUAGUGGGGCAAGGUUAUAACAGAUUGAAUUCUGAAUUCAGUUUUAGCAAGAACUUAUCUUGUGAUUUUGUAUACAGCGAUUUGAUUUUCUUGAAUGGUAUUUUGGGUAAAUAAUAUAAAUUUAGUUUCACGAUGUCUCCUUUAACGGGGGUUAGUCGUGGGAGAGUUCGAGAGAUUUUAA